UUUGAAUUUUGUAAGUGCUUUAAUAAUUUAUAUGAUUAUGUUGCAUAUUCUUUAGAUCAGUUUUAGUUUAGUAGUACUUGAAUCGUUAAGGAUUCGAGUUGUCACAAUUUUAGUUUGUUUUUAUUUGAUUUUCAAGUGCAUUGAAUGAAUUCGACGAGCAUGGUGUUCUUUUUAUUAUGCAUCUCACAACAUCUCCAUUAACCUUUCAGGGAAAAAUCCUUAUAGAUGGAAUAGGAUUAUGUUGACGUCAAUACAUGUAAAUGAAGUUUCAGAAAGUAAGAAAUUUCAUCCUACUGGGUGGAUAGAUAAGAGGGAUGGGUGGAUUAUUGUGGUUAGACGUCUGAGCUGAUAUUUAAAACUUGAUUUGGAAUUUAUCUAACUUUAACAGAUUCUAUCUCUUGCACUUACCUUUAACAAUUCUCACCAUUAGUUUUUGAUAUUGGAAAUGUUAAUUUGCAUCUCUUAUAGAAAAGAGGAUCAGCAUCCUGUCUUCAACUUCCGCUUGAAUUCAUAGGGAUAGGAAGUGUAGCUAAUUGAGACUAGUGAGAGCCUUUUUUUCCUUUUCAUCUCAGCCUUUGGUUCAUUCCAGUCUUCAUCUUGAUUGAGGUAAUUUAUUUAUUUUUUGAUAAUCGUGAGUGUCCAGGCUAACUUACUCGAAUCUCAACUCAUCCCACAGGACCCUGAAAUUUACAAUUGGGUACUCACCUCAGUGGUCCUAAGGGGACUUGAACUGGUGAUCAUUGGGGGAGCAAAUUCAAGAUCUGACCACUGAACUGCCCGUCAGGUAUAAUUGACUGCGGUAUUUAUUAAAAAUCAUGUUAGUUGUACCUAAAGUUGUAAAUUGUUUGUUCAAGGAUACACCUAGAAUUAGUUUAGUAAUGCUUAGGUGACUAAGUCUAUUUUGUAUGAAUUUUAUUAAUAGAUGACUCUGUCUAUUUUGUAUGUUUUAAAAAAUACGUAAUGAAAUUUUAUUCUCAAUUCCAUGCACUCAAAAAAAGUAUUUAGUUAUGUUGGAUAAUUUGCAUAUUUUAUUAUAAAAUUAUAAAAAAAAUCAUUAAUUAUGUUGGUUAAUUGCUAUAAAAAUACAAAAAAAAUGCAAAUUAAUUGAAAAAUUUAUAAAAACAAAUGACAACGUUUGAAAAAUUUUGCAAAAACUAAGGAUAAAAGCAAAGACAAAGAUCAAAAAAAUAUUGCAAGAAGAUUAACACAGAAAUAUAGACAACACUCGAAAAUGUUGCAAAUAAGUUAAAGAUGACGUUAAAAAAAAAUUGCAAAAAAGAAUAACGACAACAUUCAUAUUUUGCAGAAAAAAUUGACAUGACUCAUUUUGUGACAAAAAAUGUCUCCAGGAGAGUGCUGAGGAAGUAUAGAAGUCGUAGCUCUGAUCUUGAUGUCAAAGAAGAAAACAAGAGUCCUACCUCACUAGCUUUGAGGUAAAUGCAUUGUUAAAUUUUUUAACAUAUUUUAUAUAGUCUAGGUUACUUAACGUUCGAUUGAACUAGGAAUGACAAAUUGGCUCGCGGGCUCAAGCCGCCCGUGGCCUGGCCGAUAAAAAGGUUGAGCAAGCCUGGCUCAAAAUUUAGAAAAAAAAAAAAUUAAAACAAUUGGCUGUUGCCUUCAUAAGAAAGAAAAAAAUCAAGCUGGAUCGGUAAGGCCCGAGCCAAAGCUCCAGUCGGGCGUCAAUUUUUUGGCCAAACUUUUGCUCAGCUAGCACGAGCCAAAAAAAGCUGCUCGGGUCGUUGACACCCCUAGAUUGAACCCAUAUUCUGUAUUCCAUAUAUGUAUGAAAUUUUGGGUUACAUUUUACAACAAGUUGCUGUUGGUGUUAAAAUCGGUCUGAAUUUUUGAAUUACUUUGCUUGUACAUUGUUAAUUCGGUACUAUGAAUUUUUAAUGUGGUACAUUUUUUAAAUUUUGUACAAUAUGAUGCUUGAAGUUUUUUACAUAAUAUUUGACAUAUUACAUCGUAUAAAACAUUUAAUUUUUGCAUCAUAUAUAUGUAACAUGUGUGACAUCUAUCCCAUUGUUUAUGAAAUAGGUAAUGCUAAUUUUAUGAUUUUUUGCAAUGGUCCUUUGUACAUGAUAUUAACAUACAUUGUUACAUUUGAUCAUUUUGUACAGGAUUGUUCAUUAGUUAUGAAAUUUUUGUUAUAACUAUUAUGUGAACUGUUAAGUCGAAGGAUCAUUAAGUCUCAAAAAUGGAUCGUUUUGCAGUAAAAAAUAGAUUUGCAGAAAAUUAAAAAAAUCUAACACGAAGAUAUGUUUCACCCUAAAAAGGGCCUAGAUGUUCGAUCUUGCGACCUAGUCACCCGUUGAGCAUCACCAAAAGGUGAUAAAGCUCAAGAUCCACUAAGUAUCAACCAAGAACAGUAUAACAUGUACGAAGAAACCAAAGGUUUCUUCGAAUAUUCUUUCGCCUCUAUUCAAAACUGUAAUCCAACUCACUCUCAAUCACUAACAGACUAUAAAACACAAUCAGAAACCAUCACUAAGAUUACAGAUUGAGAAAUCACCAAGAACAUAUCGAAUUAUAGUAAACCAAGAACCCUAAUCUAUCACUCAGAGAAAAUGAGAGAGAGACGAAAGGUUGAAAGAGACUUCAAAUAAUCUAGAAUCAGGGCCAAAACCAAGUAAGUAUCUGAUUAGUCAAUCAUCCAAGGGUGAGAGUGAAGCCACGUGUACUGCUGAACCUCAACCAUUUAAGAGGCAAAGGCGUGUUUCUUUAAAACGCGAUUUACAACCCGAACUUAAUUCCAACAGACCAAGCCCACAAGUCUCAAUUUGGGCCAGCAAGAAAUGGUGAGGCAACCCAACUAAUAUACCAAUCUCCACCUUGCUGAAAUAUUUCUUGGUCUUUACUAGUGAAUCUAGAGCUAUAGCAACUGUUAGCUCAUUUGCUCUAAAUACGUGCAAAAAUAAAAUAAACACAUUAGUUCAAAUCUUUCCAAUGCUAAACACUUGAAGUUCUGAUUUUUACUAUCUCAAGUAAUAUUCAGAAUCUUCAAGCAAUUUUGAAAUUUACUCGAAGGUAAUACCUUAGUUCCAAAAUCUGAAGGGUUAAAUUCUGUAGGAAUUUUGACUAGACUUAUCAAACCUUUUUCUGCCAUAUUUCUCACAAAGUGAAAUUUUAUAUCUAUAUGUUUAGUUUUGUCAUGGUAGACAUGAUUUUUACUCAAAUAUAUGGCACUUUGGUUAUCUGUAUAAAUCCUAACAAUAUUAUUUUCAAAAACCUAUUUCAUUUAACAAACCCCUAAGCCAAAGACUUUCUUUUACUGCAUCACAAGCAGCAAUAUAUUCAGCUUCUGUAGAGGAAAGAGCAACUAAUUUUUGCAGUUGUGAUUUCCAACUAAUGCACCCAUCACACAAAGUGAAAACAUAUAAAGAUAUUGACCUUGUUUUAUCUAAAUCACCAGCAAAAUCAAAAUCAGUGUAGCCCUUUAACUUUACCCCUUCAUUGCUUAUUUUAAACAUUAAACCUAAAUCAGAGUUUCCUUUUAAGUAUCUUAGCAUCCACUUCAUGGCUAACCAGUGUGUUUCACCUGGAUUUGACAUAAACCUACUCAAGGUACUAAUGUCAUGAGCUAAGUCAGGUCUGGUACAGACCAUAAGGUACAUUAUUAAUCCUACAGCAUUUGCAUAAGGAAUCUUUUCCAUUCUUAUAAAUUCUUCAUCUGUUUUAGGUGAACUUUCACUUGACAGUUUAAAACGAUUAGCAAUGGGUAAGGUUACAGGUUCACACUCAAGCAUUGUAAACUUUUCAAGUAUUUUCUUUACAUAUAUGCCUUGUUUCAAUAUUAACAUGCAAUUAUUCCUAUCUCUUUCUAUUUCCAUUCCAAGAAUCCUUUUUGCUUGUCCUAGAUCUUUCAUUUCAAAUUCAGAUUUUAAUUUUGAUUUAAUGAAGUUAAUUUCAGAUCUAUCAUGGCAGGCAAGUAACAUGUCAUCAACAUAUAAUAACAGAUAAAUGGAUUCAAAUCCACCUGAACCUUUAUAGAUAAAACAGGAAUCAUAAUUAUUUUUGACAAAACCCAAAGUCUGCACAUAGGAGUUAAAUUUGAUGUACCAUUGCUUGGGAGUCUGUUUUAGUCCAUAGAGGGACUUCUUCAACAAACAAACCUUAUUGAUCUUAGACUUUAUUUCAAACUCCGGAGGUUGACUCAUGUAUAUGGUUUCAUCAAGAUCCCCAUUGAGGUAAUACCAAUUUUGAAAGGCAAUUUUUUCUGUUUUCCAAAUACACAAAUUUCACAAAAAUCCAAACCCUUAACAUUAUCCUUGCCAAAACAUCUAAGUUUAUUUAAGAUUAUUAGUCCCUUUUUUGAGAUGUGACCAAGUCUUUUGUGCCAAAUUAAAGACUUGUUGGAAUCAGAGUUUAAGGCUGUAGAACACUAGUCUCUCACAGAUUGAGCACAUACAGUAUAUAUGCCAUUUAUCUUUUGAGAAGAUAUGAUAGUUUUAUUUCCUUGCAUAAGUGUUAAAAAAACCUUUAUGAAUCAUAAUGCUGUAGUUAUCAUCGAGCUCACCCAAGGAAAUAAGACUUCUUUUUAACUUUGGGACAUAUCUGGUGUUCUCAACUUCUAGGGUACAAUUGUUAUUUAAUGAGAGUUUGACCUUUCCAAUCCCCUUAAUUUGACAACUCAUGUCAUUUUCCAUCUGAAUUUGUCCUCCAUUUAGAUCAACUAAUUCAAAAAAAAAUUCUCUUGUGGGACACAUGUGAAAGGUGCAGUCAGAGUCAAGGACACAUUCAUUUAGGUCUCUUCUGGUGGCUGUUACCAAAACAACCCCUUGAAUAUCAUAUUCAUUUCUGCAGGCUACAGCUGCAGAUCCCUCAGUAUUAGUAUUCUCUUUCAUAUCUGAGAUUUUCUUGAAGCAGUCUUCUAUUACAUGGCCAGUUUUACCACAGUAAUAACAUUUCCUGAUCUGGUUUUUAGUUUUCCAUUGAUUCUUAUUCUUUCCCUUAGAUCUGGAGAAUUGAGUUUUCCCUUUCUUAUUUAAAUUUUGAUUUAAGGGAUAUUUUUUCUUAUUUUGGUUCUGUUUCUCCUUUAUGAAUAACCCCUUACCAUACCUAGAGUCUUUAGACUCGGAUUUUAUUUCAAGUUCUCUAUUUUCUCAGGAUUGAGGUUAUUCUAUCAAUUAUUUCAAGUUCUCUAUUUCUCAGGACUGAGGUUAUUCUAUUAAUGGUAAUUUCUUGUCCCCCAUGUUUUAAUGCAUUUCUAAUGUCUCUAUACUUAUCACUUAGUGAAUUUAACAAUGCCAUAGCUUGUUGAUCAUCAGAAAUUUCUUCAUCACAGUUAGUCAAGUCCUGAAUCAGUUUUGUGAAUCUGUUAAGGUUAUCUUCCAGAUUUGAGGUAGGAUCAAAUCUAAAAUUAUAGAAUUGCCUUAGAAGGUAGUAUUUAUUAGACAUGGUUCUAAUUAGAUAUAAUGUUCCUAACUUAGUCCAAAGAGCCUGAGCAGAAGUAGUUUCUCCAACUUUCCUAAUUACACUAUCAGAUAAGUGCAAGAAACUUUACUUUUUCCAACUUUCCUAAUUACACUAUCAAUAAUUUAUGAAACUUCCCCCCAAGUCUCCAAUUCUUAUACUAGAAACUUUACUUUUUCCAACUCCGAAACAAUCCAGUGUGCACCAUAUUGUCUCAUAACAAAUGAAGCAAGUUAUGUAAUGAAACAAGCUAUCGAACCCAACUUACUCCUUACAGUUGUUAAACUCUUGACAUGUGUACGUAUGCACAUAUUCACAGAAGUAUGUCAAAAUAUGAUACUUCAUAACAUAUAUUGUUUCGUGUUAGAACUUAAAUAAAGGAGCAAAAUACAUUACAAUGUUGCCUCUUGCAUUUUAUACUUAACAUAGGAUAAUAUUUUUACCAAUCUAUAAGAACAUGACGUGCAUUGUUGAAUUCACCAUUUGAGAAAGAAAACAUGUCAAAUUGAUGUAUAAAGUACAAUGUCACUUGCAUGAUGUAAUAGAAUACGAUACCAUGUUACAUUAUGAAUUUUUCACCACUUCACGUUUCAAAUCAAAAUAUCAAAACAUGAGAAAAUGCUAUUAUCUUGUUCAGUUCAUAUUUGACACGAUGUAUCAAAAACAUGCAUAUUACUAUUGGUAACAUGAUUACAAAGAAAUUUAUAUUUCUCCAAUCAGACCAAUAUACAUCCGAGUUGCUGGAUCAAUCACCUUUGGCGCGCUCGCAACCUCAGCGUGGAGAGUUCGAUUCCUGGUGAGAACCUUUGAUCCAAUAAAGGGGCAAUUUAUUGGUGGAUUAAUCACGAUGGAGGAAAGCUCUCUUGAGGCCAGGAGUUUAGACCGGGUGGGAAUUUGUGAUCCAACAAGGGCACAAUCUGCGGUUUACCUCCGCUAGUCACUGAGGGGCCGUUGGCUAGGGGUCCAGGAUUUAGUCUGGCGAAUCUGGGACACCUGGGUAUCAAAAAAAAUAAUAAUAAAGCAUUAUAGACGAUUAUGUAAUACCUUGAGGCGCAUGAAAUGAAAAUUUCCAUAGAUGUUUCUUAUUACAGUCGGAGUAGAGAG
rnacentral:lncRNA from 1 species